AUAUAUAUAUAUACAUACACGCAUAUAUGUGUGUGUGUAUAUAUAUAUAU
rnacentral:miRNA from 1 species